AUUGAACGCUGGCGGCAUGCCUUACACAUGCAAGUCGAACGGUAACGGGUCCUUCGGGAUGCCGACGAGUGGCGAACGGGUGAGUAAUAUAUCGGAACGUGCCCAGUAGUGGGGGAUAACUGCUCGAAAGAGCAGCUAAUACCGCAUACGACCUGAGGGUGAAAGGGGGGGAUCGCAAGACCUCUCGCUAUUGGAGCGGCCGAUAUCAGAUUAGCUAGUUGGUGAGGUAAAGGCCUACCAAGGCAACGAUCUGUAGUUGGUCUGAGAGGAGAACCAGCCACACUGGAACUGAGACACGGCCCUGAUCCCUACGGGAGGCAGCAGUGGGGAAUCUUGGACAAUGGGCGCAAGCCUGAUCCAGCAAUGCCGCGUGCAGGAAGAAGGCCUUCGGGUUGUAAACUGCUUUUGUCAGGGAAGAAAUCUUCUGGGCUAAUACCCCGGGAGGAUGACGGUACCUGAAGAAUAAGCACCGGCUAACUACGUGCCAGCCGCCGCGGUAAUAC
rnacentral:rRNA from 1 species